AAGAAGGGCGUAUGGGGGAUGCCUAGGCUCUCAGAGGCGACGAAGGACGUGAUAAGCUGCGAAAAUCCGCGGGGAGCUGCACAUGAGCAUUGAUCCGCGGGUGUCCGAAUGGGGCAACCCGGCAGGUUGAAGGCCUGUCACCCAGCAAUGGGGGCGAACCCGCCGAACUGAAACAUCUAAGUAGGCGGAGGAAGAGAAAACAAGAGUGAUUCCGAGAGUAGUGGCGAGCGAAAUCGGAUCGGCCCAAACCGUUGUUGUUUCGGCAAUGACGGGGUUGUAGGACCACAAUGUUCUUUGCGCGACGAACCGGAAGCAGUUGGAAAGCUGCACGAUAUGGGUGACAGUCCCGUACGGGCAAGGAGCGUUAAAGAUAGUGGUAUCCUGAGUAGCGCGGGGCACGUGAAACCCUGUGUGAAUCCGGCGGGACCAUCCGCCAAGGCUAAAUACUCCUGGGAGACCGAUAGUGGACCAGUACCGUGAGGGAAAGGUGAAAAG
rnacentral:rRNA from 11 species